CCAGAGACUUGAUUGGUUGUAUGGAGGUGCGUGAGCGAUAGAAAAGUGUUUAAGAGUUUAUGUCCAAGAGAGUUUAAGGGUAGAGUGUUAGUCCCUGAUAUUGUCCUGGAUUUCUCUGCAUGUCCGACUUGGAUGCCCAAACUUCAAUUCAUCUCUCUCUGUCUCCAACUACUCCUGUCUUCCCUUUGUCUUUACUUUUAAAGGGCCAGACUCUUUGUACAUCAUUAGUUGAUAACCUAAUAGGAAGCCGUAGGUGUGUCCAAUCUAUGGGUCGCAAUUUAGGUAUUUGAUCCAUAGAGGGCAGUCUCGUCUAACGAAACCUUCCUAUCCAGGAAAGAGUUAAC